UGGCUAAGAUGAGCCCCACCCCAAAUCAGUACUCCAGUCUCUCUGGAAGCUCGUGCGUUUAUCUGUUCUCGUCAGAACCAAUGUUCAGUACGAUUUGGCUCUACAGCUUGAAAAUCGUAAAUGUUAAGUACCUUUUGUUAUGGCCGCAUUUGUGUCGUUGGUUACAUGCUAUACAUGUAAGGAAACUUCAAGAUUCAAUGGAGCCAAAAGAAGAUCUCUUGCUGUAAGGCCCCACAUUCCAAGAAGCUUAACGAAGACAAAAACUGACAUAAAGACACUUGAAGCAAGAAGGAUGCCCCAGUCCACAGAAAAAGCAACCAAAUAUUCCCCGCAUGUGAAUAAAUUGAGUUCAGAAAGCAAGAGCCCAGCUGCAACACCACGGACAUCAGUUUCUACACCAUCCACAUCUUCGCCUUCAUUGAAAUCAGUUAAAGGAAAGAAGCUGCAAUGCUCUCGUCUUAAGAUGCUUUUGAAUUCUGAGCAGAAACAGCAGGGCACAAAGGCAACUCUUAAAGAUUUUCUGUCUUCAGUGUAAAUUGUGAUUGUGUGAUAUUUUUUAAAAUAUGUGGUUGUAUGGCCUUAACCGGCUACACGAGAAAACUUAAUUGAGGGAAGACGAAUUGUCUGUCAGCUUGUAUAAUCAGUUGGUUGUACAGCCUUAGUUUUGUGCAAAUUGAGUUUUGUAAUAUUGUCAUAAAAUAGCUGUUUAUAGAUGAACUGCUGGAAAUAUUACAAUAGCAAGCAUGUUGGAGCUCUGAUGUGCUACAGUGCAGAUGUGGGACUGCAGAUUAACCAGAAGCAUGUGUGCAGUCUAAGUGAUAAGCUAUCUGCCAUCUGGUUAUCUCAGAAACGUACUGCUGUUUGCCGAGCGAUGCAAACACUUCUAGAUAUUAAAGUUCAAGUGGCAGUAGCUGCCAAAUGAACGGUUAUAGUAACAUAUAUAUUUAACCAAAUACCGCUUUCAGUUUUGUCCCUGCUUAAGUCUUCGAAGAUGAAUUUUACUGUCUUAACAUUGUAAUCUUUCUGUGCAGCGUGCAUGAUUCUGUUUUUCAUCUCAUCCUGAAAGCCGUCCUACAGGUGGGAAAGACCAGACAGAAGGCAUGUAUGUCUGGUCAGCUGGGAAAUGAAUGUGAGCAGGGGGAAGAUUGAAGUAAGAGGGUCAAAAGAGGUGGCCUAGGAAAUGGAUUUUAAUUGUGCAGAAAGAGGAAGUUCAUCCAAAUAUUUACUAGUUGUUUACUUAAGAAAAAAGAUGCUGUAUUUACAGGUAGAAUGUAUAUUUUAAAAAUUCUUCCUUAAUAUUGUGAUUUUAAAAAGGUAGAUUUGAUGAACCACAGUGCAGUUUAAAAAUGUUGCAUAUAAGAACACAAAGAGAGAGCAGGAGUAGGCCACUAGGCCCUUUGUGCCUGCCCUGCAAUUCAAUAUGAUUAUGGCUAAUCUAUGCUGGCCUCAACUCCUUGAUCUAUAAAAUAUUUAUCUAUUUACACCUUAAAUAUGUCUAAUGAUCUGGCCUCCACCCUCUGAGGCAGAAAAUUCCAGAGAUUCACUACCCUCUGGGAGGAAAUUUCUAUGCACCUUAGUUUUAAAUGACUGGCCCCUUGAUUUACAGUUAUGAGACUCUCCCACCAUUGAAAAUAUUCAUCCCAGUUAAGACCCCCUAGAAUCUUGUGUUUGAUUAAGGUCACCUCAUUCACCACAGUGGAUCAUCUCAAUUUUCAGGAGGCAUGAAAACAUCAUCCAUAAGGAUGAUUUAGCACAUUUUUUGCAGUUUAAGGUGUUGCAUCCACCAGAUGUAAUCUGGAAUGAGACCGGGUCUCACCCUCAUAAGGGAACUGGAGUGCCUGAUGGAAUGGCAGUCACUAAGGCCAAGAUAUUAUAGGCCACAGAACAUUGGAUCAUUCACCACAGUAUGAAUGUGAGUAUACACUAGAGCCACCCUCACUAAUUCCUCGCUGAUCUUAAAGUGGGGGUGCGGUGCGCUUGAUCUUUAUUAUUCAAUAGUACAUGAAUAUAUACAUAUACAUUAUAUACAAUAUACGUAGCUCUCACCCAUACAUAAUGUCAAGAGUCCAUAAAUAUCUGUAGCAGAUCUAUCGUUAAUCUGAUUGCUAAACUACAAAUUUUCUGCGAAUGUCUUGUAUUUACUAAUGUCCAUGGACUUUAAAAGGGCGUCGUUCUCUUUAGCUCAAAGACCGUGAGCUCUGAUUACGAACCUGAAAAACUCAACGAUCUGAGCAUUUGUUUGCGCUUUAAUUUGAGUUAUUAGGUGUCGAUAUUUGUUCUUUUUCUCAGUCCAGGCCUUUGAGAUAGCUUGGUUAUUAUCUUCUAAUCUUUUUGUGACAUCUAUUACGGCAGCCUUGUUCCCUUUAACAAGUAUAAUAUCUGGCUUCCAGAGUGCCAUCAAUGUCUCUCAAGUGUGGUUCCAUAAAAGGCUCCCAAUGACAUUGGACUGCCUUGGACUUCAAUUUGUCUAAUAUCUUAUGUUGUUUGAUUCGCAUUUGCUUUACUGCCAAGCAUCUUCCUGAGAUGUGUGCUAGAGUUUCGUUUGCAAAUCCACAUCUUCGGCAGAUUUUUACCACAUCAGCAUUACCACGACCACAUGUACAUCUCGUGGGGUAAUGUCCACACCUUAAUAUUGCAUUAACGACCUGGUACCCCUUCCAGGUCUGAUGGCUUUUUACCAUACAUUUGAGAUCUUAUCAUUCUUGAAUUCUUUAACUCCAGAUCCUUUAAUUCUGGGCUGCCCAUCUAUCAAAUUCAACUGACUGCCAAUCGAUAUUAAAUUUUUGCGGUCGAGCUCAGUUUCCAGUUUCUUGCUCGUACUCCACUUCCAGUUGUUCAUAGAAACUAUCAGAUGGUCUUUCAAUUGCUCUAGUUUGACUAAACAUACGCUGUGCAAGAUCAAUAUCUUGUAUCAUUGACAAACUCUUGAGUCUAUCAAUCAUGGCCAAGUCAUCCUUGCUGGCUAUCUCAAACAAAUGUUUGAUUGCGUUGUCCUCUGAUCUUUCUAAGGACUGCUGCUUCCUUAUUAUUGCCGGUGGUAUCUGAAUUUCGAGCUUGGGCAUGCAUCUCUCAUUCUAAAAUACAAAAUUCCAUCGGUCAUAUCAUGGGGGAGAUGGAGUAUUUCUUGACUGUCCUCUUUAUCAUCCGGUCCAACUCUCUCAACGUGUUCUGAGAGGCUUCAGUUAAAAUAAGAUGAAAGUAGACCCUAGGUAUUAUAUAGGUCUUAAGCAAUUCAGCCUUUUGCAUUGGUUUAGGUUUAGUCCUUCUCAACUUGCCAAACCAUUUUUCUAAUUUUGAUCUCAGAUCUUCCAUUGAGAUUCCGCACCAUGGAUCUACCCUCGCACAGAGGUAUUUUUUGAUUUCACCAGGUAGUAUGUAUGUUAUCUUUUCUCGCCCAAACUGCCAUUGUUCUUUUGAGUUGUACACGUGUGUCUUUCUCAGGCUGAUGAAGUGAAAACCCUUUGUCUUAACGUUGACAUCAAGACCGGUACCUCUACAGAAAUCACUCAAUAUGGAGAUGUUCCUGACCAUACCUUCAUAGGAGUCGCUUAGAACUGUCGCAUCAUCUGCAAAAGCAAGCACUGUGCAUCUUGAUCUUCCACCAGAUGUUAUGAUCUCGACUCCUUUACCUCGAUGUUCCAAGGUACUUAUGAGGGGGUCCAUGGCAAUAUUAAAUAAAAUUGAGAGGGGAUCACCCUGCUUCACCCCUCUUGAUCUCGAUUUUAUUGGUUCUCCUUGUGCCAACUUCAACGACUGUUGUGUUGCUGUAUAGAUCGAUCACUAGGUCAAUAAAGACCUUUGGCGCGCCAACUCUCUGUAAAGAUUUCUUGAUCAAUUUGUGGCCUGCUGAAUCGAAUGCCUUAGCAAGGUCCACAAAAAGGACAGAUUUCUUUGCCACCUCUCUUUGAUCUCCUUAUAUUCUUAAGGAUUGUAAUGUUUUCAUUACAGCCAGAGGUGUUUAACAAAAACCCCUUUUGUCAUGGACUUAUUUUGACAGACUUGCUCAAUCGUUUAGCUAGUAUCUUAGUAAACAGCCUAAGAAUCAUUGGGUCUAUCGUAAUAGGUCUCCAAUUAUCCAGGUUUUUCAAAAGUUCUCUCUCGUCUGUCUUUGGGAUUAACACCAUUCUACUUUUCUUAAGACAUUCAGGUAUGGUCCCUGAUCUGAGCCACAACAUAAAAAGACGUGGCAGUAGAUCCUCGUCAUCUGCCAAAAGUUCUUUAAGGUCCUUCUUCUUAGUCCCACCUGGACCUGCAGCACUCUCUACCUUAAUUCCAUUGAGAGCUUUGACCUCAGUCCCCUCAAUCUUUCUGAGGAGGUUCUCUUCAUCAAAAUCAUUGUCGUGAUCUUCCAAUUUUCUGAGGUCUGCUUGAUUAUUUACUGUACCCAGCUUCUCAUGGAAACAUUGGUAAACUUCCUCAAUUUUCACGGGGCAUACACUCCAAGGAAUACAGACCCAAACUAUCUAGCCUCUUUUAAGAAGACAACCCCUUUCAUUCCCAGGAAUUAGCCUGGUGAAUCUUUGGACUGUCUCCAAAGCUUCUAUAUCCUUUCUCGGGUAAGGGGGACAAAACUGUGUGCGGUGUUCCAGGUGUGGCCUCACCAUGACCCUGUACAACUGUAACAAAUCUUCCCUAUUCUUACCCUUCACAAUAAAGAAAAUAAAAUGCCAUUUGCCGCCUUACUUACUUGUUGGACCUGUCUGCUACCUUUUUGAUUCGUGCACUUGAACACCCAGAUCUCUCUGAACUUCACUCAUUUGCAGUCUCUCUCCCCCCUCCCCCCCCUUCCCACCCCCCCU